rnacentral:lncRNA from 1 species
AGCCCAUAGCUAAUAAGGCUUCGGAAGUGUGGAAAAUUUACUGGAACUCCAAAAGAACUGUCCUGAAUCUAGGAGAAAUUGAUUUUGGUUCUUUCUAGCUCUCUGCCCCUCAUUUGUAUGUGACCUUGGGGAAGCUCUUAGAUCUUUUUGAAUCUCCCAAUCCUUGUCUCUGGUUGGACUAGAAAGCCUUAGCUUAUUUAUAGCCUCAAGAUUCUAUGAUGUCAUGGUUCCUUCUCUAUGCGUGUUCUCUUGAGAACCAAGCAGGAUCAAUAGUUUUCAGAAGAACAGAAGUACAGAAAAAAAUGUGUUGUACUGCCCUAGCUCUACCCCUCCCAGGUUAUGACUCCUUCUGUUACUUUUGACUGGGUCCUACCUUCCGUUUUUGGUCCAGUAACAGGGCUGCCAUUUGGGAAUGGAUUCUCAGGCUCUAGUUGCUCCCCAGAAAAGCCUCAGCAAGUCAUUUUACCCUUUGCCUCUCACUCUACAUGGGUCUUUUCGAGAAUAUCUUAAUGAAAUAUUUCCUCAUCCCUGCGGACAAAGAGAUUUUUAUUGUGGGGGUGUCCCAUUAUUUUCCAUCUCAGGGACUCCUCCUUCAUUGUUUCCUUUUCUCUUCUGCUUCUCUUUCAUGGCUGCGCGUUUCUUCUUCCAGUGUUGCGGGCUAGGUCAGCAGCUGCAGGAGAACUUGAUUAGUGCCUUGCCUCAGUGCAGAUGCAUUUCCCUGACAGCAUCGAUCCUGGGUGCUUUCGCUUUGCAGGCAGCUCCACAGAGGAGGAGCUUGUACUGCAAAGGAGGUGGACUGUUGUCUGUUCAAGGCUCCAGAUGUGACCAGCCACUGCAAAAUGGUAAGUUGUUUAUCAGCAUUCUACACUGGGAACUGGCACCUGUAAUUUUACUCUUAUUUUGCAUCAGCAUUAAUAAAACACUAAAAAAUGACCAAGCGAAGGUUUUGUGUAAUCACACACACACCUUCAGGGUGAGUUGCCCUGUCGGCUGUCUGUCGUCCUUAAGGUGCCAGCUACAGCAAGCAGCUUCCUUCUCUGUUGUCUGCGUAGCUGCUAUGAGCCUGCUUGGACAGGGAGUUCUGCUGAUAGCUGGACCUGGAAAAUAAUGGUGAAAUGUUGUUCUGGCAGCUUUUAAAGAAUCGAUUGUUGAUCCAUUUUGAUAAUGCAAAUACAAUCUUUUUCUUUCAUUCUUUUCCCUUCUUUUCUUUCUUCCCCCUUAUUCCUUGUUAAUAGUUGUCUGCAGCAAAAAAAAAAAAAAAAAAAAAAAAAAAAAAAAAGCUCCUUGUCCACCACAGUCUGGAGUGAAGAUUUAAGAAAUAAACAUAUUUGAAUCAUGUGACA